rnacentral:rRNA from 1 species
AGGGUUCGAUUCUGGCUCAGAUUGAACGCUGGCGGUAGGCUUAACACAUGCAAGUCGUGCGAGAAAGUAUCUUCGGAUAUGAGUAGAGCGGCGGACGGGUGAGUAACGCGUAGGAAUCUACCUAGUAGAAGGGGAUAGCCCGGGGAAACCCGGAUUAAUACCGUAUACCUCCUUCGGGAGAAAGAAGGCCUCUCUUUGAAGCUUUCGCUACUAGAUGAGCCUGCGUAAGAUUAGCUUGUUGGUGAGGUAAAGGCUCACCAAGGCGACGAUCUUUAGCUGGUCUGAGAGGACGAUCAGCCACAUUGGGACUGAGACACGGCCCAGACUCCUACGGGAGGCAGCAGUGGGGAAUAUUGGACAAUGGGCGCAAGCCUGAUCCAGCCAUACCGCGUGUGUGAAGAAGGCCUUCGGGUUGUAAAGCACUUUAAGCAGGGAGAAAAAGUUAUAAGUUAAUACCUUAUAACCCUGAUGUUACCUGCAGAAUAAGCACCGGCUAAUUCUGUGCCAGCCGCCGCGGUAAUAC